GUUGUGAUGGGCUUUGUUGAUCUUUGAUUCGACAACGCCCCACAUGUAGUAGUUGAGGGGAUAGCACUCAGACCCUCCUCGAAGAUGUGUGGCAGAUUUCACACACAUCUUCAAGGAUUGCGUUCAAAUCCGCGAAUUUGUUCGAAUCUCGAAUCUUUUCGCACCAGAGAGUCACCGCGAGAAGUGGUCGAGUGGUUCGGUUGCAAGAGGAUGCAGGUUUGUGACCUGGCGGGGAGGUUCGGGGGGUCUGAGAUGGAGGAGGUCAUUCCUGACCGGGUCGGGCAGCGGUGUGGCUGUGAGAGAGGUG
rnacentral:lncRNA from 1 species